rnacentral:rRNA from 1 species
UGGGGAAUAUUGGACAAUGGGCGAAAGCCUGAUCCAGCAAUUCCGCGUGAGCGAAGAAGGCCUUCGGGUUGUAAAGCUCUUUCGGCAGGGACGAUAAUGACGGUACCUGCAGAAGAAGCCCCGGCUAACUCCGUGCCAGCAGCCGCGGUAAUACGGAGGGGGCUAGCGUUGUUCGGAAUCACUGGGCGUAAAGCGUGCGUAGGCGGCUACUCAAGUCAGGGGUGAAAGCCUGGGGCUCAACCUCAGAAUUGCCCUUGAAACUAGGUAGCUUGAACACGGGAGAGGUAAGUGGAAUUCCGAGUGUAGAGGUGAAAUUCGUAGAUAUUCGGAAGAACACCAGUGGCGAAGGCGGCUUACUGGACCGUUGUUGACGCUGAGGCACGAAAGCGUGGGGAGCAAACAGG